ensembl:lncRNA LINC02073 long intergenic non-protein coding RNA 2073
UUAGAAAGAAUCAGCUUCAGGUGAUCUUGAAGAUCCCACUUGGAUUCCACUCUCCAGCUCUCAGGAAGCUCUGGCUUCCUUACUUCUUCUGGGAUUUUCCUUUCAUGCUGGGGAGAGAUGCUCCCUCACCACUACCCAGCCCAUGGGACACACCGAGUCUGGUGGAGGAUGCUGUGACCUGUGGUGCUUGUGAUUGCGUCUUACUGUGUCGCCCAGACUGAAGUGCAGUGGUACAGUCUCAGCUCACUGCAACCUCGGCUUCCCAGGCUCAAGCAAUCCUCCUGCCUCAGUAUCCCAAGUAGCUGGGAAAACAGGUAAAAGGGAAGCAAAGGAAGAAAGAAGAAAAGAAGACAACCCAUGUAGGAUGUUAACCAGGUCACUGGUUUUAUUGUCACAUGCUUUUAAAAGAACAUGCAUGAGUGAGCUGUCUCACUUUCCAAUCCAAGAAUGUUUGAUUCCACUGUGAUGAAAAAUUCUGUGACCUGGCAGGAAAACACUACAAGAAGGGCAGAAGCGGAAAAUUCUUUCUAUUUUCCAAUAUGGCUUUCUUUGAUUCAAGAAAGGCCUCCUCUCCUCCACAUCUCUGUCCUGCUCAUGACCCCAGAAGAUCUCAGGUUGACUGCAUUUGUUCUAUGCCUUCCUCAAGCUUCACCUCUUCUGUGAGCCUCCUGGGUGGGCUCCUUCUGGCUAAAUCUUCCUCCUCACUGUUGCCUUUUUAUCUUAUGCAAGCACCUGCCUUAUCUAAAGGGGAGAGAGGCCAAACUCGUGAUCUGAUCUGUCUGAUAUCACUUACUUAAACAGUUAAGUGGUGA